CAGACAUUAGCGCCUUACGAAAUGUAAUGGAAGGACAGGCAUACCAGGUCAUACUUAUAUAAAAAUUGACCCUCUAGAACUGAAAACUGCAUUCAACUUAACGCGCUGACGGGAACAUGUUGGAUAGGAAUAUCCUCAGAGCUGUGAAUUGCAUCAGGCGGUUCAGGGAAAGUCUUUCACUGUCGCAGCUUCUUGUGUAGCUUUACUUUGUCUUUGGUGCUUUAAAAAAUAGAAAACUGACAUGCACGCGAGACACAAAGAUGCAUGUGCUGGAAAGAUAAGCAAGCCUUUAGGGUUUAUAAGUACCUAACCUCUCUCUCUCUUUCUCUCUCUCCCUUUAUCUGUUUUUUUCUCACUCAUUUUCUCUCUCACACACUAAACAA